rnacentral:rRNA from 1 species
UACGUAGGUGGCAAGCGUUGUCCGGAUUUACUGGGCGUAAAGAGCGCGCAGGCGGUCGAGUAAGUCGGAAUGUGAAAGCCCCCGGCUUAACUGGGGGAGGGUCAUUCGAUACUGUUCGACUUGAAGGCAGGAGAGGGCAGCAGAAUUCCCGGUGUAGUGGUGAAAUGCGUAGAUAUCGGGGAGGAAUACCAGUGGCGAAGGCGGCUGCCUGGCCUGUUCUUGACGCUGAGGCGCGAAAGCUGGGGGAGCAAACAGG